UAACGCGAAGAACCUUACCAAGGCUUACCAUACACCGAAAACGGCCAGAGAUGGUCGCCCCCUUGUGGUCGGUGUACAGGUGGUGCAUGGUUGUCGUCAGCUCGUGUCGUGAGAUGUUGGGUUAAGUCCCGCAACGAGCGCAACCCUCGUUCUAUGUUGCCAGCGCGUUAUGGCGGGGACUCAUAGGAGACUGCCGGGGUCAACUCGGAGGAAGGUGGGGAUGACGUCAAAUCAUCAUGCCCCUUAUGUCUUGGGCUUCACGCAUGCUACAAUGGCCGGUACAAAGGGCUGCGAUACCGUAAGGUGGAGCGAAUCCCAAAAAGCCGGUCUCAGUUCGGAUUGAGGUCUGCAACUCGACCUCAUGAAGUCGGAGUCGCUAGUAAUCGCAGAUCAGCA
rnacentral:rRNA from 1 species